GGCAGCCGCGGUAAUUCCAGCUCCAAUAGCGUAUAUUAAAGUUGCUGCAGUUAAAAAGCUCGUAGUUGAAUUUCGGGACCAAUUUGUCGGUCAUGCCUCGGUACGCACUGGCUUAUUGGUUUCUCCCUUCUGAAGAACCAUGAUGUCAUUUAUUUGGUGUCGUGGGGAAUCAGGACUGUUACUUUGAAAAAAUUAGAGUGUUUAAAGCAGGCUCACGCUUGAAUACAUUAGCAUGGAAUAAUGAAAUAGGACGUUUGAUUCUAUUUUGUUGGUUUCUAGGAUCGACGUAAUGAUUAAUAGGGAUAGUUGGGGGCAUUAGUAUUCAAUUGUCAGAGGUGAAAUUCUUGGAUUUAUUGAAGACUAACUACUGCGAAAGCAUUUGCCAAGAAUGUUUUCAUUAAUCAAGAACGAAAGUUAGAGGUUCGAAGGCGAUCAGAUACCGCCCUAGUUCUAACCAUAAACGAUGCAACCAGCGAUUAGCCUGAGUUCCUUAAAUGACUCGGCUAGC
rnacentral:rRNA from 1 species